ACAGUCAGUGAGAGAGACACAAAGCCAGCCAGCUUUACAAAAUGUGUAUCACCCAAGCAAGGGGGCCACAGCAGCCCAUACGAUGGUGUAAAGGGGAAAAAGAUCAUACAUUCUAAACUGCACCUGGAGAAGAAUCCCUUUUUGAAUGACAGAAUACUUCCAGAGCAACCCAAUGGAGUAUGUCUGCACAGGUAGCCAUUUAUAAUUUCACGGAUUAAUAUAUGAGGUUAUCAAGGCCAGCACCAAAGCAAGAACAUGAAGAUGACGGGACUGAGGCGGCUGGCUGGGCAGAAGGGCUGUCUACAUUUGCUGUGGGCCCCUUCUGAGGCUCCUAAAGUCUACCGAACACAACAAGCUGAUACUGUCCCAGAGCAGCUCCCAUAUUGUGAGGACACAGCCUAGGCUCUGGGGUCACAGUCUAACUGCCCAUGCCAGCUCAAAUACUAAGCUGGACAUGCACAAUCGGAGCACAAAUUCAGGCAAGUCGUCAAACCCCACAAAUAUGCCACCACAGAGGAUUAUUUGUGACUACUCAAGUGAGAGAGAUAUGAGAAGAAUCUGGCAAUCUGUUGGCACAUAACUACUAUUUAUUGUUUGCUAGUUCUAAUACUACCAAUACCUAACACUAAUAAAAGUAGAGUUGGUUAUAAAAAAGUAA